UACGAAGGGGGGCUAGCGUUGCUCGGAAUCACUGGGCGUAAAGGGUGCGUAGGCGGGUCUUUAAGUCAGGGGUGAAAUCCUGGAGCUCAACUCCAGAACUGCCUUUGAUACUGAGGAUCUUGAGUUCGGGAGAGGUGAGUGGAACUGCGAGUGUAGAGGUGAAAUUCGUAGAUAUUCGCAAGAACACCAGUGGCGAAGGCGGCUCACUGGCCCGGUAUCGUGAC
rnacentral:rRNA from 1 species